AACCGUUCCCCCGUUGGUUCGGUUCGGUCCCGUUUGGACGUACGUCUACGAGUAGUAGUUGACUCGUGCACGAGACGACGCUGGCGGCGUGCUUAACACAUGCAAGUCGAACGGUAAGGCCCUUCGGGGUACACGAGUGGCGAACGGGUGAGUAACACGUGGGUGAUCUGCCCUGCACUUCGGGAUAAGCUUGGGAAACUGGGUCUAAUACCGGAUAGGACCACGGUCUGCAUGGAUUGUGGUGGAAAGCUUUUGCGGUGUGGGAUGGGCCCGCGGCCUAUCAGCUUGUUGGUGGGGUGAUGGCCUACCAAGGCGACGACGGGUAGCCGGCCUGAGAGGGUGUCCGGCCACACUGGGACUGAGAUACGGCCCAGACUCCUACGGGAGGCAGCAGUGGGGAAUAUUGCACAAUGGGCGCAAGCCUGAUGCAGCGACGCCGCGUGGGGGAUGACGGCCUUCGGGUUGUAAACCUCUUUCAGCAGGGACGAAGGGUGACUGACGGUACCUGUAGAAGAAGCACCGGCCAACUACGUG
rnacentral:rRNA from 1 species